UGGGGAAUAUUGCACAAUGGAGGGAACUCUGAUGCAGCGACGCCGCGUGAACGAAGAAGGCUUUCGAGUCGUAAAGUUCUUUUAUAUGGGAAGAUAAUGACGGUACCAUAAGAAAAAGCCCCGGCUAACUACGUGCCAGCAGCCGCGGUAAUACGUAGGGGGCUAGCGGUGUCCGGAAUCACUGGGCGUAAAGGGUUCGCAGGCGGAAAUGCAAGUCAGGUGUAAAAGGCAGUAGCUUAACUACUGUAAGCAUUUGAAACUGCAUAUCUUGAGAAGAGAAGAGGUAAGUGGAAUUUUUAGUGUAGCGGUGAAAUGCGUAGAUAUUAAAAAGAAUACCGGUGGCGAAGGCGACUUACUGGGCUCAUUCUGACGCUGAGGAACGAAAGCGUGGGUAGCAAACAGG
rnacentral:rRNA from 1 species